GACGAACGCUGGCGGCGUGCUUAACACAUGCAAGUCGAACGGAAAGGCCCUGCUUUUGUGGGGUGCUCGAGUGGCGAACGGGUGAGUAACACGUGAGUAACCUGCCCUUGACUUUGGGAUAACUUCAGGAAACUGGGGCUAAUACCGGAUAGGAGCUCCUGCUGCAUGGUGGGGGUUGGAAAGUUUCGGCGGUUGGGGAUGGACUCGCGGCUUAUCAGCUUGUUGGUGGGGUAGUGGCUUACCAAGGCUUUGACGGGUAGCCGGCCUGAGAGGGUGACCGGGCACAAUUGGACUGUGAGACGGCCCAGAGUCCCACGGGGGGGAGCGGGGGGGAAUAUUGUACAAAGGGGGGAAGCCUGAUGCAGCAACGCCGCGGGGGGGAGGACGGGCCUUGGGGGUUAAAACGCGUUUGCCUGUGACGAAGGGGGUGGGAAGGGAAUGGGGAAAGAAGAACCGGGGAAAUACGUG
rnacentral:rRNA from 1 species